rfam:Trichosporon oleaginosus strain IBC0246 unplaced genomic scaffold CC85scaffold_9, whole genome shotgun sequence.
GGCGAGAUGGCCGAGCGGUCUAAGGCGCUGUGUUAAGGUUACUUGAAUAGUAAUUCCGCAGUCUUCGGACGUGGGUUCGAAUCCCACUCUCGUCA